UGUUUCCGUGUGAGUUCCGGUUGUUUCCGUGUGAAUUCCGGGUGUUUUUGUGUGAAUUCCGUGUGUUUCCGUGAGUUCCGGCUGUUCCUGGGGUGGUUUCCGUGAGUUCCGGCUGUUCCUGGGGUGGUUUCUGUGUGAGUUCCGGUUGUUUCCGUGUGAGUUCCUGUGGUGGUUUUUGGGUGAAUUCCGGCUGUUUCCGUGCGAGUUCCGGGUGUUUCCGCGAGCUCCGGCUGUUCCUGGGCUGCCCCCGCAGCCGGGGGGCUCGCGGGGUCCCUCUGAGCGCGCCGUUGCCGGGCAGGUGGCGCGGGCCGGGCGUUUCGGCACCAAGGGCUUGGCCAUCACCUUCGUGUCGGACGAGAACGACGCCAAAAUCCUCAACG
rnacentral:lncRNA from 1 species